GAAAGGAAAGCAGAGUUACCUCGAAUGCCUUCAGCCCAAUACGCCCAUAGCCUGUGGGCAUUCGAGCGGCUAACAAGCCCAGGCCCAUAUUCUCGAAGCUACCUUCCUAGGGUUUCGCUUCUUGUAACCCCCCAGUGCGCCUCCCUUUCUCCCACUCCCCCCACUCCCCACCACAAGACCGCCGCCGCCGCCGCAGGAGGAGGAGAAGCAGCAGGGGCGAGAAGGAGAUCUCGCGAGGAGGCGACCGACCAUGAGGGCCAAGUGGAAGAAGAAGCGCAUGAGGAGGCUGAAGAGGAAGCGCCGAAAGAUGAGGCAGCGAUCCAAGUAGGCUGAUGGGGGUGGUGACGGUGUGCUGUAGCUUCCUAUGUGUGUCUUUGGCUGCGGCUGACUGCGGGCGUACUUGCUUGGCAUGGUGGCGCCAUUCUUCUCAUCUGUCAACUCGCUUAUUCCAGAAACCUGCACUUUAGUAGGCCUGUUAUCGUUGCUUUUAGUUGUACCAGGAGUUUUGCUAUCAUGACCAAUCUAUCCAACUGUAUGAACUCUGUUUUGGAGCUUUAUUUGCUGCUAAUAUUCGGCCAUCAAGUACUUCAUGCUUUUGCAUGCAUCA